rnacentral:miRNA from 1 species
GAGGAUUGCUUGAGCCCAGGAGGUGGAGGCUGCAGUGAGCUGUGAUCGUGCCACUGCACUCCAGCCUGAGUGACAGAGAAGACCCUGUCUCA